rnacentral:rRNA from 1 species
UACGAAGGGUACAAGCGUUACUCGGAAUUACUGGGCGUAAAGCGUGCGUAGGUGGUUCGUUAAGUCUGAUGUGAAAGCCCUGGGCUCAACCUGGGAAUGGCAUUGGAAACUGGCGACCUAGAGUGCGGUAGAGGGUAGUGGAAUUCCCGGUGUAGCAGUGAAAUGCGUAGAGAUCGGGAGGAACAUCUGUGGCGAAGGCGACUGCCUGGACCAGCACUGACACUGAGGCACGAAAGCGUGGGGAGCAAACAGG